AAAUAGGGAGGCAAAACACAGCACUACACAAAGGGCAGUGAAACUGAAUUCUUGGAUGAGAGAAGUAAAACGCCCAAAGUCUUAAAGCAGUUUGGAGAUGGGUCCAGACUUGUAAGUCUUAUUACUGCAGAUGUUUUUCAUGUUUGUGAACCCAGCAGGAAGGUGUAGCUCUAGUGAAAGUCCUGUUUUCAGUGAUGUGUGAAGAUUCCCUGGAUACCACUUGGGAAUGGUCACAACAAUCCUUCAACGUGAAUCAUCUGAGAGACCCAGGGAUGGAACUCGGGGAGCAGCUGGGAGUGGAAAACCCACAUUCCUCCAAAGCAGGAGGCACAGCCUGAUCUUCACACAGCAGCUUUUGCCACCAAAGCCCUGCCACCAGUGCUGGCUGUGGCAAGAAGAACCCUGUGGUACCCUGGCACUCACGUGGCUCCCCUCUGGAAGAAGGAAAUGAAAUAUUCUGCAUGAGUUCCUUUCACUUCCAGCAGGGAUGGAAACUCCAAAGGGCUGCACCUGAGGAAGGACAAGCUUCCAUGCAAUGCUCCAGCCUGAACAGCAAAUUCCCGUGGCAGGAGCUGCCCAGACACCUCCCAGAGCUGAGCUGGGGCUCUGGGCACCUCUGUGAGCAGGUGAUGGAUAAGGGCAGUCCCAAACUGCACAGGGAAAAUGAGGAGGCUGCCCACAGGCUGCAGGAACCAGGUUUAACUUCAGGAAAUGUUCAGAGCACAGGAGCUGGUUUGUAUUUAAGAAAACCUACUCACUUCCCUUGGGCUGAGGAUGGAUGUCAGACUCUCCUAAUGAGAAGGACCUUACAGAUG